UAUACAUGAGCGGUGCUUCUAUGCCUUUUACGGAUUCCAUGACCAACCACGACGGACGAUUUGAGAGUCAGAUCCGCUCCCUUCUCUCUCAAACAAACGUUGUGAAAAUUAUUCCAACCCAAAAACCCCUGCUUCGCUCAUCCCACUGUGUUCAAUGAGGUGUCUUUAAGCUAUAUCAGAAAAAUCAUGGUUGUAAACCAACCGUGGUGGGCGAUAAUCAGGAUCAGCUCAAGCCCGGCCACCAUGUGCGUGAGCUUGAGGAGUCCACAAAUGGUUUCGCUGCUGAGAAUGUGAUAGGUGAAGGCGGUUAUGGCAUUGUGUAUCAUGGUGUAUUAACAUAUAACUCUGACGUUGUUGACAAAAAAUAGCUUAACAACGGGUGCUAUUUUAUGGAUUUUAAUAGCACUUCUCCAUGAAAAUGUUGCACGGUCACCGUCUUUGGAUUGACAAAUGAUUGUCUCACCAAUAGAAUGAUGAUUGAGGUUGUUUGAUUGUCAAGCAUAAAUGGUAUGUAGUAAAUUUGUAGUGUGUUUAAAUGUGUUCUUAUCUACAUGCUAAUUUGCAGGGGAAUAGUUGGGAGGAAAUUUAAGGUAGGGGUAGAAGCCAUUGGCCUGAACAACAGGUGUAAUUUUUAUGG